GGGGGAGCUGAGCCGGCCUGGACUGUCAAUCAAGGCUUACAGUCGUCAGGGUCCAGCUCAGGUUCUCACACAGACCCCGCUUCUUCCAAGCGCACCGAACCGCGGCCCCCUCUGCCCUGGCGCGCUUGAGGCACGCUGGAGAUGGAAAAGCAAACCAGACAGGGCCCAGGGAGAGUCUACUUCCUGCCAUGGUAGCAGGUGGACUCAACAAUGGCUGUUGGCUUGCAGGCUCUGGAAGAGAGCGUCGCAGAGGAGAAAAACAAAUUGCAGGGGGACCUGGAGAUGACACAAGCUCGGGUCCAUGAGCUGGAGAACGACUUGGCUUGUCAAAAGGAGGUCUUGGAGAGCAGUGUGACUCAAGAGAAAAGGAAAAUGCGGGAAGUGCUGGAGGCAGAAAGGAGGAAGGCACAAGACCUGGAGAAUCAGCUGACCCAGCAGAAGGAGAUCUCAGAGAGUAACACGUACGAGAAACUCAAGAUGAGAGACACUCUGGAGAAGGAGAAGAGGAGGAUACAGGACCUGGAGAAUCGCCUGACCAAGCAAAGAGAG
rnacentral:lncRNA from 1 species